AGUAUGUGCACACGUAAACAGUGUAAUGUAGGUUGCUCAUAUGCUUACCUUUCAGAUUGCCAUCAGUCCUCCACACCUGUCUCACCACAGCAGGACCAUCCGAGUCUGAGGGAAGGGGACGAGACGAUUUCAGACGCCAGGAGAUUCUUCUUGAAACCAAUGAACGAAAUGAAGGGAUGGCUCAGACUUCCAAUGAUGGCUCUUGACCGUGUUCCUCUGCUUCCAUGAUGGCUUCAUCCAGCAGAGAGAUGAGAGAGAUUAGACCAAGGAGAUAUCCGUCCUCCCUGUUUCCCUCCACCCAUGGAACAUCAUGCCUCAGCUGGACACCGUUUGGUGUUGGGAUGGUCUUUCCGAAAUCUAUCAUCCAUAUAUUAGCUUUGCCGUUGCAGUCAUGGACGAAGAGCAGAGAACUUCCUAUGAUCUGAGAUGUUUAGAGCUGUAUCCUCUCCCUCGCUGAAGACCUCGUCGCUCUCUGCUGAAGAGUUGUUGAAGGAAGAGGACGAUGAAGCUGAGGAGUAUAGGAGAACCCGAGAGAGGACAGGAUGAGGAACAUAGUCUUUCAUUUCUCUAUUCUGUUCCUCACCCUUUUUCUCCGUACCUCUGUUUAUAUAAAGUUCCCCAUCUCUUGAA